GAUGAACGCUGGCGGCAUGCUUAACACAUGCCAGUCGAACGGGACGUCGUGUUUCCUGUGGCGGACGGGUGAGUGACGCGUGAGAACCUGCCCUUGGGAGGGGAACAACAGCUUGAAACGGCAGCUCAUACCCCGUAGGCUAAGGCGCAAAAGGAGGAAUCCGCCUGAGGGGGGGGUGGCGUCUGAUUUGCUAGUUGGGGUGGCCAGAGGUUACCGAGGCGAUGGGCAGUAGCUGGUCCGAGGGGAUGAUCAGCCACACUGGGACUGAGACGCGGCCCAGGCUCCUGCGGGAGGCAGCAGUGGGGAAGUCUGCGCAAUGGGCGAAAGGCUGACGGAGCAAUGCCGCGGGGAGGUAGAAGGCCUACGGGGCGUGAACUUCUUUGCCCGGAGCAGAAGCAAUGACGGUAGCUGGGGAAUAAGCACCGGCUAACUCUGUG
rnacentral:rRNA from 1 species